AAGGAUUUAAGUUAAAAUAAAACUAAUAACCUUCAAAGUUAUAAAUAAAGAUUUAAGCCUUUAAGCCUUA
rnacentral:tRNA from 1 species